CUCCCCUCGAGCGCGGUUGGCCCCUAGCGGGCCGGCCGCCGCCCGGUGUUGGGGCACUGCGGGCCACAGCGCCCGCAGGCCCUUAAAUGAAGUGGCGGUCCCGCCGCGGCGCCCCCUGCGUAGUAGUAAAGCACCUCGCAUCGGGUCCCGGCGAAGACCAGCCGUCGAACCUAUCUCUUGAUG
rnacentral:misc_RNA from 1 species